UGAGGAACAUGACCUUCGGCGGGGGAUAGCCGGCCCAACGGCCGGGUAAUACCGCGUACGACCACAUGGGGACAUCCCUGAGUGGUGAAAGCAGCAAUGCGCCGAUGGAGUGCCUCGCGGCCUAUCAGCUAGUUGGUGAGGUAACGGCUCACCAAGGCGACGACGGGUAGCUGGUCUGAGAGGAUGGCCAGCCACAUUGGGACUGAGACACGGCCCAGACCUGUACCGGGAGG
rnacentral:rRNA from 1 species